rnacentral:tRNA from 1 species
GCCUUAGUAGCUCAGUUUGGGAGAGCGCCAGACUGAAGAUCUGGUUGUCCCCGGUUCAAAUCCGGGCUGAGGCAUCA